rnacentral:antisense_RNA from 4 species
UGCAAACAAAAAAACCACCGCUACCAGCGGUGGUUUGUUUGCCGGAUCAAGAGCUACCAACUCUUUUUCCGAAGGUAACUGGCUUCAGCAGAGCGCAGAUACCAAAUACUGUCCUUCUAGUGUAGCCGUAGUUAGGCCACCACUUCAAGAACUCUGUAGCACCGCCUACAUACCUCGCUCUGCUAAUCCUGUUACCAGUGGCUGCUGCCAGUGGCGAUAAGUCGUGUCUUACCGGGUUGGACUCAAGACGAUAGUUACCGGAUAAGGCGCAGCGGUCGGGCUGAACGGGGGGUUCGUGCACACAGCCCAGCUUGGAGCGAACGACCUACACCGAACUGAGAUACCUACAGCGUGAGCUAUGAGAAAGCGCCACGCUUCCCGAAGGGAGAAAGGCGGACAGGUAUCCGGUAAGCGGCAGGGUCGGAACAGGAGAGCGCACGAGGGAGCUUCCAGGGGGAAACGCCUGGUAUCUUUAUAGUCCUGUCGGGUUUCGCCACCUCUGACUUGAGCGUCGAUUUUUGUGAUGCUCGUCAGGGGGGCGGAGCCUAUGGA